GCCGGGAUUUCCUAGCAUGGUAAGGAGCCAGCCUGCUAAGUUGGUGCCCACAAGGCGCGAGGGUUAGGAUCCCUCUCCCGGCGCCA
rnacentral:tRNA from 1 species